AUUGAACGCUGGCGGAAUGCUUUACACAUGCAAGUCGAACGGCAGCACGGACUUCGGUCUGGUGGCGAGUGGCGAACGGGUGAGUAAUGUAUCGGAACGUGCCCAGUCGUGGGGGAUAACGUAGUGAAAAUUACGCUAAUACCGCAUACGAUCUAUGGAUGAAAGCGGGGGAUCGCAAGACCUCGCGCGAUUGGAGCGGCUGAUAUCAGAUUAGGUAGUUGGUGGGGUAAAGGCCCACCAAGCCAACGAUCUGUAGCUGGUCUGAGAGGACGACCAGCCACACUGGAACUGAGGCACGGUCCAGACUCAUACGGGAGGCAGCAGUGGGGAAUUUUGGACAAUGGGCGAAAGCCUGAUCCAGCCAUUCCGCGUGCAGGAUGAAGGCCCUCGGGUUGUAAACUGCUUUUGUACAGAACGAAAAGGUUUCUACUAAUACUAGGAGCUCAUGACGGUACUGUAAGAAUAAGCACCGGCUAACUACGUGCCAGCAGCCGCCGUAA
rnacentral:rRNA from 1 species